rnacentral:sRNA from 1 species
UCCAGCCCUGCUGUCAAGCGCGCCAGCUCGCCAGCCCUACCCAAAGGGACACCAUUCACGCCUGGGUGCCUCUGCCGGGCUCCGGGAGCCCAGGGUCGUGGCUGGGCCAGCGCUGAGCGUCAGAGGAGGAGAGCAGGGGCCUCCCUGGUCGCCCCAGCAGGCCCAGGCGCAUAGGUGCCCAGAGAUCCCUGGCUUCUGAUCGCCCGGAAGACUAAGAGCUUUAGUUUUGGUCCAGAAAGCAUUUUCAAGGAGCUGGUCAAGCAUGGCUUUAGCAGAUAAGAGACUUGAGAACUUACAGAUCUACAAAGUUCUUCAAUGUGUGCGGAGCAAAGACAAGAAGCAGAUAGAGAAGCUGACCAAGCUUGGAUACCCUGAACUAAUCAAUUAUACAGACCCCAUUAAUGGACUUAGUGCUUUGCACUUAGCCUCAGUUUCCAAUGAUAUUGAUAUGGUCAGCUUUCUCCUUGACCUUGGUGCUCACCCUGAUGUGCAAGACCGAAUGGGCUGUACUCCCACAAUGAGGGCUGCAGAACUGGGCCAUGAAUUGUCAAUGGAAAUAUUAGCAAAGGCAAAGGCUGAUAUGACUAUAGUUGAUAAUGAAGGAAAAGGAAUGUGUACUCAGUCCUCAAUGCCGUAUGCCAGUUCUAUGAUAAGGUGUUUUGUUUUACUGCAUUUUACCGACUAAGCGGCAUUAUCGCUGUGCUCUGAUCGCCCUUGAACAUGGUGCAGAUGUCAACAAUUUUACCUAUGAAGGAAAGCCAAUAUUCCUUAGAGCUUGUGAAGAUGCACAUGAUGUUAAAGAUGUGUGCCUGACACUUUUGGAGAAAGGAGCCAAUCCCAAUGCAAUCAACUCAUCCACAGGCCGCACAGCUUUAAUGGAAGCGUCAAGAGAAGGGGUAGUGGAAAUAGUUCGAGGCAUAUUGGAAAGAGGAGGUGAAGUGAAUGCAUUUGACAAUGACAGGCAUCACGCCGCUCAUUUUGCUGCUAAAGGAGGCUUUUUCGAUAUAUUGAAGCUUCUUUUUGCCUACAAUGGAGACUUGGGGCUGAUUUCGAUAAAUGGGAACACACCACUUCAUUAUGCUGCCAUGGGUGGUUUUGCAGAUUGCUGUAAAUAUAUAGCUCAGCGAGGAUGUGACCUGAAAUGGAAGAAUUUAGAUCAUAAAACGCCCAGGGCUGUGGCUAAGGAAGGCGGCUUCAAAGCAGCAAGCAAAGAAAUACGCCGAGCAGAGAGAAUCGCUAAUAAACUAGCCAGGCCAGGAGCCAAAAAUCCAAAUCCACUGUGGGCCCUUAGACUGCACGAUUGGUCCAUAGAACGUCAGGCUUUCCUCCGGGAAGCCUUUUCGGUUUUAGACAGGGGUGAUGGGAGCAUCAGCAAGAACGACUUCGUGAUGGUGUUGGAGGAAAGGCAAGAUUAUGCAAGCUCAGAACAGCUGGCUGCCAUCGCUCAACUUCAUGAGAAAACCCGGGGAGGAGGGGUCAAUAUUAAUGAAUUCUUUAAAGGAACCAGAUAUUUAAACAAGUCUUUUGUCUUAGGAUCGUAUGGACCUAAGAAAAAGAAAAAAGGGAUGGGCAAAAAAGGAAAGAAAGGGAAAUUUGUCUUACCCCUUCCAAUCUGUGUCAUUCCUGAGUACGCGUUUCCACGCCGGCAGGAUGGUGGGCCACCGUAUUACAUGAUUGAGACCUACAAGAAUGUCACUGAUAGCAGCCGAUUUAACAGAGAUCACCCCCCAGAACAUCCCAUUCAGGAUGACUCUGCUUGGUACAUUGAUGAUUCAGAGAAGGUAUUUUCAAACAUUAAUAUUAUCACCAAAGCAGGGGAUCUGGCUUCUCUGAAAAAGGCCUUUGAAUCAGGAAUACCUGUGGAUAUGAAGGAUAAUUAUUACAAAACUCCGCUAAUGACGGCAUGUGCAAGUGGAAACAUAGAUGUGGUCAAGUUUCUUCUUGAAAAAGGAGCUAACGUUAAUGCAACAGAUAACUUUCUGUGGACUCCACUUCAUUUUGCAUGCCAUGCAGGCCAACAAGACAUUGUUGAGCUUCUUGUUGAAUCUGGAGCUUUAAUAGAUGCAGUUUCAAUCAACAACUCAACUCCUUUAAAUAGAGCCAUUGAAAGCUGCAGACUGGAUACAGUAAAAUACUUACUCGAUAUUGGUGCUAAAUUCCAGCUGGAAAAUAGAAAAGGGCAUAGUGCCAUGGAUGUUGCAAAGGCAUAUGCUGAUUAUAGAAUAAUUGGUCUGAUUAAAGAAAAGCUAGAUAACUUGCCGAAACCAGCAGAAAAUCAAAAACUAAAAGGCAAGACACCUCCUAUACUGAAGACUGAAGGCCCUGAAAUUAAGAAAGAAGAGGAACUGCUGUCAUCAAUUUAUGGUGUACCAACCACAUCAGAGGGAAAGAAAGUACAGAAGGGUAAUGUGGUUCAUCUCAAUUCAUUGAUUACCAGUGGUUAUACUAAGAAAGUGGAUAUCACAUUUAUUCCACGGAGGAUUUGGAGUCCUGAAGCCACAACAGCAGAGCUGAUCAGGAAGAGGGAACUAAGGCGAGAGAGGUUUACACAUGAGGUGGACUUCGACGAUUUUAUGAUGCCUUUUCAGAAGAACAUCACAGAGAAAGCUCGAGCACUGGAAGCUGCCUUGAAGACCUAAGUCAUAGCAGUUAUUUCUUGGGGUAAAUGCUUUGAGGCCCAGGGACCAAUCUUUGGAGAAAGUAGAUAUUUCCAUCAAAGCCAAAGCAAUCCAUACACCAAGAACUUGUUACCAAGUAUUUCUUUUUGCUUUAACAACUAUAAAUAUUUGAGCUGUCUAGAGAAAA